AACAGGAUUAGAUACCCUGGUAGUCCACGCCGUAAACGAUGUCGACUUGGAGGUUGUGCCCUUGAGGCGUGGCUUCCGGAGCUAACGCGUUAAGUCGACCGCCUGGGGAGUACGGCCGCAAGGUUAAAACUCAAAUGAAUUGACGGGGGCCCGCACAAGCGGUGGAGCAUGUGGUUUAAUUCGAUGCAACGCGAAGAACCUUACCUACUCUUGACAUCCAGAGAACUUAGCAGAGAUGCUUUGGUGCCUUCGGGAACUCUGAGACAGGUGCUGCAUGGCUGUCGUCAGCUCGUGUUGUGAAAUGUUGGGUUAAGUCCCGCAACGAGCGCAACCCUUAUCCUUUGUUGCCAGCGGUUCGGCCGGGAACUCAAAGGAGACUGCCAGUGAUAAACUGGAGGAAGGUGGGGAUGACGUCAAGUCAUCAUGGCCCUUACGAGUAGGGCUACACACGUGCUACAAUGGCGUAUACAAAGAGAAGCGACCUCGCGAGAGCAAGCGGACCUCAUAAAGUACGUCGUAGUCCGGAUUGGAGUCUGCAACUCGACUCCAUGAAGUCGGAAUCGCUAGUAAUCGUAGAUCAGAAUGCUACGGUGAAUACGUUCCCGGGCCUUGUACACACCGCCCGUCACACCAUGGGAGUGGGUUGCAAAAGAAGUAGGUAGCUUAACCUUCGGGAGGGCGCUUACCACUUUGUGAUUCAUGACUGGGGUGAAGUCGUAACAAGGUAGCCGUA
rnacentral:rRNA from 1 species